rnacentral:rRNA from 1 species
GAUGACGCUGGCGGCGUGCCUAAUACAUGCAAGUCGCGCGAACAGACGAGGAGCUUGCUCCUUUGACGUUAGCGGCGGACGGGUGAGUAACACGUAGGUAACCUACCUAUAAGACUGGGAUAACUUCGGGAAACCGGAACUAAUACCGGAUAAUAUUUCGAACCGCAUGGUUCGAUAGUGAAAGAUGGCUUUGCUAUCACUUAUAGAUGGACCUGCGCCGGAUUAGCUAGUUGGUAAGGUAACGGCUUACCAAGGCAACGAUACGUAGCCGACCUGAGAGGGUGAUCGGCCACACUGGAACUGAGACACGGUCCAGACUCCUACGGGAGGCAGCAGUAGGGAAUCUUCCGCAAUGGGCGAAAGCCUGACGGAGCAACGCCGCGUGAGUGAUGAAGGUCUUCGGAUCGUAAAACUCUGUUAUUAGGGAAGAACAAACGUGUAAGUAACUGUGCACGUCUUGACGGUACCUAAUCAGAAAGCCACGGCUAACUACGUG